GAUGAACGCUGGCGGCGUGCCUAAUACAUGCGAGUCGAGCGAACAGACGAGGAGCUUGCUCCUCUGACGUUAGCGGCGGACGGGUGAGUAACACGUGGAUAACCUACCUAUAAGACUGGGAUAACUUCGGGAAACCGGAGCUAAUACCGGAUAAUAUAUUGAACCGCAUGGUUCAAUAGUGAAAGACGGUUUUGCUGUCACUUAUGGAUGGAUCCGCGCCGCAUUAGCUAGUUGGUAAGGUAACGGCUUACCAAGGCAACGAUGCGUAGCCGACCUGAGAGGGUGAUCGGCCACACUGGAACUGAGACACGGUCCAGACUCCUACGGGAGGCAGCAGUAGGGAAUCUUCCGCAAUGGGCGAAAGCCUGACGGAGCAACGCCGCGUGAGUGAUGAAGGUCUUCGGAUCGUAAAACUCUGUUAUUAGGGAAGAACAAAUGUGUAAGUAACUAUGCACGUCUUGACGGUACCUAAUCAGAAAGCCACGGCUAACUACGUG
rnacentral:rRNA from 1 species